rnacentral:misc_RNA from 1 species
GUGUAUUGUGCGGACUCGGCGGCGUCGUUUUCGAGCAGCCGCAGCGGCCAUGAAAACGUGUGUGCUCUCCGACACGAGGCCUGAGCUGCGGGACUUUGGUUGCAGAGCUGGCAAACGUUCUGGUGGGACACAAGUACGUUGAUGAGAAGGAUUUCGUGCGUUCCGAAACCUCGUUCGGGAAGCACGCGCCACGCUCAGGGGUCUGAGCGCCGCCAAAGCUGCUCUAAAGUUCGACUGGCCUGGUGAAAGCUCAUCACGAGGGAGGUACUUGUCGCGAACGUGUCUCGCAAACCCAAUAAUGUUCUUGAUAGCAGAAAAAUGGUCUGGUUAAAUCACAUGACGAUGGAGACGUCUGGUUCACUAGUGUCUCGCGAACCCCGCAGUAUCCUCAUUCGAUUCGAGCAAUUGUUGCAUCCCAGGGACAGAGAGAAGGCUUGAGUUGCGUGCUACAUCAAGCGUUCUGCGUUGCGUUGGAAAAUCGAGCGGCACCGAGUCGGGUCUAUCUAUUCGCGCGUACUGCACCCAUCUUUACACGGCGAUCGAAGCACACCGUUGGAGAUACGCACAAACUUGUAAAACUAGAGCGGCGCCACGCUGAGCCGGACUAGUUCGGGAAACUGCGCUAUCAUAUCUUCCUCCGUGAGCGUGUCGUUCGGUCGAUCAGGGGUCCAGAGAACCUCCACCGCAAGCAGGUCGUCUUCCGUGACACCAUGAAGCGCCUCCAAGACAUGGCCGCUGGAGCGCGCAACACCUGUGAGGUUCCGGAUCGCGACAAGAAGCGCCACCACGAGGAAGCUAUCAGGCUCUGUUUCCUCCCCAGGCGCAUUAUUUGCAUCUCCAGUUUCAUCUGAAUGAAUUCGGCGGACGCCGUCCAAGUUCAGGACGGUGUCUUCACGCCAAUUCGCUUUAAUCUGCACGCUCAUUCGACGAAAGGAGCUUUCAGCAGCCGAUUCUUCAGAUGCAUCGAAGGUUAGCACAUCGUGAGCAGAUGCGUACCAUCCCUCGCCGGUCUCGCGGGCUCUUUCAAGCAAGAGCGUAGCGUCGCGGAGAAGAUGGCAAAGAUCUCGUGGUUGCGUUGUGUCUAGCUCUGCAGCUAGGGCUUGCAGUUUGGGACGGACAAAGUCUCGAGCUUCGCCUCGAAGCGCGACCAAUAGUCGAGCGACGGCUAUGCUUCCCGGCUGGAAGCUUAUCCCACGCUUGGUCCGGUCACCGCGACUUUUCAGGGUCGAAGCAGCUAUGACGCUACCGAAAAUCGCUAUCUCCCAUGGAAACGAGUUGCCGGUUCGUGGACCACGAGCCGUAGGCACUUGGACGCUCACUGUUCCUUCGCUGUCAGAAAAGCUCAGGUCGCCAGUGGUUUCCUGUCUGUACACCUGGCGACUUGGUCUACCAGGGAGGACUGUAUCACUGGGACCAGUGCCAGACGACUCUGAACGGCUCCAACCGCCGACACUGCCGCCCGUUCGACUGGCGAGCACUUGUUGAACCGCCACUCCGGAACGGUUUUGCACGAACAGUACUUGCGCCGGCACGGGCUGCAGCCACGGAAAAGUCAUCAACAGCCCCCGGCGUGGUUGACAACCCAAACGCGACGCUCUUCUUGUUCUGCGCGCUCUGAAGUGCACGCCUUCCUCCUGAGGAGAAACCGGUACGAGCGUGCGUACUGCUGCACCAAAACGCCCGCUCGUUGCACCUGGGGCUCCUCCGCAACUGAACAUUGUGAACACGGUGUAAACGGUUUA